rnacentral:lncRNA from 1 species
GGGGAUGCCCGCACUGACAGCCCUAUCCCGCCCGGCCGCCCAGGCUCUUGCGCAACUCCGGAGAAGCGAAGCAACUCCUCCCAGCCCCUCCUUCCCUCGGGGUUUCCGGGGUACCGGGCCUCGAACCCCGACGGCUUCCUCUCCGCGGUCCCGCCGCCUGGGUGUCGCGGGGGAGAGCGUGACCACUGCGAGGUGACAUCCACCCCAUCCCGCCGCGCUGCGGCUGCAGCUGCUGCUCCGGCUGCUGGGGUCCGGGCGGAAGUGUUCGGCGACAUUGGCCAGGCCACGGGGCACGGAGGUGGCACCCACCUGGAGGGGUCCGCCUGAAAACCAAGAGUGUAGAGGCGGAUGGCUGCGGGGGCGGGGUUGGGGCGGGGGCGGGACUGAGCUCUGGAUGAGCCUGGACGGCCCCAGUGCUGCCCGCAGUUCUGCUUUUUCCCCAGAGCUGACUUUUCUUUCCUAGAAAUUAGGUUUCCCUUUCUCUCAUGGAUCAAGGUGAACUCAGGCUGGGAGCCGUGACCUAAGAUACAUUUCAAACCCUGCAAAAGGGAUUCGUGUUCUGGAGGUGCUUGCAAGCCCGGUGAUUUUGAGGUAUAGUUUAGAGAUCCUGAGCCGAAGAUAUGUAAUUCAUUUCAGUUACACAAACAUUUCUUGGAGUUCCCGUUGUGGCUCAGCGCUAAGAACCAAAGUAUCCAUGAGGAUGUGGUUUCCAUUCCUGGCCUCUCUCCAGGGGUUAAGGAUCCCACAUUGCCCUGAGCUGUGGUGUAGGUCUGAGAUGAAGCUCCGAUCUGGUGUUGCUGUGGCUGUGGUGUGGACAGAUGGUUCUGUGGUGUAGGUCGCAGAAGAAGCUUAGGUCCCACGUUGCUGUGGCUGUGGCGUAGGUCGGCGGCUACAGCUCAAUUGGACCCCUAGCCUAGGUAUCUCCAUGUGCUGCCAGUACGGCCUUCAAAAGACAAAAAGCCAAAAAAAAAAUCUGGGAACUUCUCCUGACAGAUGACAUUUUUUAAAGUGAUUAAUUUUAAGCAAAGAAGGGUAGGUAAGAUGAACACUCCAGUCCAAGGAACCUGCAGGAGGAGUUCCCAUCCCGGCGCAGAGGUUAACGAAUCUGACUAGGAGCCAUGAGAGUUCAGGUUCGAUCCUUGGUCUCGCUCAGUGGCUUAAGGAUCUGGCGUUGCUGUGAGCUAUGGGUCACAGAAUGUGGCUCAGAUCCCGCGUUGCUGUGGCUCUGGCAUAGGCCGGGGCCUACAGCUCCAAUUAGACCCCUAGCCCAGGAACCUCCAUAUGCUGAUGGGAAGCAGCUCUAGAAAAAGGCCAAAAAAAAAAAAAAAAAAAAAAAGGGAAAUAGCAGGAGGAAAUGCAAAGACAGUGAGUUGCCUGUUCUUCUGGAACUAGAAAAAUUAGAAAAAUACUCUAAGUGUAAGGCUGGGAAUGGGGAAGUGGGCACAUCACCUAAGCCCUGCUGAGAACGUUGUUUGGUCUGAUAGUAAGGCGAGUGGGAAGAUGGACAGACUUGUAUUUCAUGAGGUCACUGUGGGUGUGGGAGAGUGACCACCAUAUCCAAUAAAGCAGAAACUUUUAAUUAAGCUUUUUUAAAAAAAUCACAAAAGCUUGCCAUGCGUAGUGAUCCACUGUCCUCUCUACCUAGCUUUCUGUGUUUUGAAAACAAGCUCUUUCUCUCUGUCUGCCUUCCCUUUCCCCAUUGCCUCCCAUUUCCCCUUUCCUACUCUACAACUGAUCUGAUUUAAAAAACCCUCCCUGAGGCAGAGGAAUUAUGACAUCAAUGGAAUUCACCUGAUUAUUUUAUCUCUGGUGCUUAUGUAAUUCCCUUAAGCAAUCUAAUUGGCUAAUCACGUUUACAAGGGUUGUCUGACUAUAAAGGCAGUUAAGAAUGGUAUGUUUACGGCAGUUCCCGUUGUGGCUUAGCGGUUAACAAACCUGACUAGUAUUCAUGAGGACAUAGGUUCGAUCCCUGGCACUGCUCAGUGGGUGCCACUGUGGUGUAGGAUGCCAUGAGUUGUGGUGUAGGCUCGGAUGCCAAGUUGCUGCACCUGGGGAGUGUAGCUCUGAUUCAGCCCCUAGCCUGGGAACCUCCAUAUGCCAGCGCGCGAGCCCUAAAAAGAUAACAAUUAAAAAAAAAAAAAAAAAAAAAAAA